CUAUUUUAAUGACAUCCUUGCUACUUUUCUGGGCCUUGAAUGUGGUAGUUCCCUUGUUGUCUAUGGAGGGUCAGAAAGCUCUGGGAUUUCCUCAAAAAUAUCUUAAUUUGUGUUGCGAACAUGAACGAAGGUCUUACUGGUUUGGAACGAUGUAAGGGUGAGUAAUUAAUGACAGAAUUUGGCUCCUCAGAUAAAAGAUGCAGUGCAGUGCCAAAUUAUGGAAAAAAACAGUCUUAGUUAGAAUUGCCUUCCUUCUGAUCCCAACUUUAUGAAAGAGUGGAUGAACUUUAUUUUUAAUGAAGAUCCAGACCACGUCAGUAAGAACUUGGUCCUUUGUUCACUUCAUUUUACCGCAGAUUCGUUUACAAACAAGGCACAAUUCGAUGUAAGAUUUUCAGAAAGAUUGAAACUCAAAGGCGAUGCUGUGUGACUAUAUUGGAUCCGACAGUAAUGUCGCAGCACACAAGUUGUCCAGCUUGGUGUAUGCAGUGGGACCAACUGUGCUGGUAAAAGCAUCACCUGCUAAAGCUGUCGCAUCGCCAGCACGCCCCAUGGUGCAGUGCACCACACGUGACCUACAGCUCAAUUGAAUUCAACACAUAUGCUGCACUCAAAUUAGUUACACAGGGCCAGUUUAGAGGCUGGUUAGACAGACUGGGCAUUAAAUAAGCUAAACUUGCAUUACUUGUAUAACUUGUAUAAGGUCAUUGAUAAAUGUAAUAUAUUUCUGUAAGCUCUAAAGGACUUUAUUUUUAUAACACUGAAAGGUAAAGUAUGACAUUUUGUUGGAGGCCAGGUGGAGGCCUCAUCAGAGAUGGAUUGGCCAUAAAUAGGACUAAAACUGUUCCUGGUGGGCUGGCUGAAACCACAUUUAUAAUACAAAGAGAGAAGAGGGAGAAAUGAAUGUUCCAGUUGCUCAUCUUACUUGGCCUCCCAGUCCAAAUUCAUGGCCACCCAUUAUAAAAUAAAACAGCAAAAGUUAGUUAAAAAGGACAGGAAGGAGUUGUUAUGGGUUGAUAGUGCAUCAUGAAAGUUAAGGAAGGUCAAAAGAAAUUAAGAAAUCAAGAAAAGUGUGGUGAAUAAUUGUAUACUGACAAAACGGUCUUUCCUAAUGAGACCAUAUCAUAUUAGAGCUAUCCGAAAAACUGUAGUUAAUUUUCACUAUGAUUUUUACUGAUUUUGUGAGAAGAACAUAUACAUAUUUAAUUUAGAGGAGAUUGAAAUCAUAUUAUAUGCUUGCAAAACAUACAUUUACCAAACCUACCCAUGCAGGAAGUAGUAUCCUAUAAUGCACAAAUAAUAAUAAUAACAAUAUAUAUAUAUAUAUAUAUAUAUAUAUAUAUAUAUAUAUAUAUAUAUAUAUAUAUAUAUAUAUAUAUAUAUAUAUAUAUAUAACUUAUUAACACUUUAUUUGACAUUGUAUAACAAGGCUAAAUCCCAUUUGUUUUGCCUUGUUAUGGCGAAACUAAUGUUAGGGUGAAAUUGACUUUCAAAGCAACACCACAAACACAGAGAUGGCUGCUCUCUAUUAAGCUAUUCUCAGCAGAGCAACCACUCCAGCAAAAACCAGUGAUUAGGCUUUGAUUAGAGUGAUUACAGCCCAAUUUGAUCAGUUAGCACAUCACAAUUGUGUUGAAUCUAAUUCAGCUUUUCCUCUGCUGCAGAACCAG
ensembl:lncRNA